rnacentral:rRNA from 1 species
UACGUAGGGGGCAAGCGUUAUCCGGAAUCACUGGGCGUAAAGGGUGCGUAGGCGGUCUUACAAGUCAGGGGUGAAAGGCUACGGCUCAACCGUAGUAAGCCUUUGAAACUGUAGGACUUGAGUGCAGGAGAGGAAAGUGGAAUUCCUAGUGUAGCGGUGAAAUGCGUAGAUAUUAGGAGGAACACCAGUGGCGAAGGCGACUUUCUGGACUGUAACUGACGCUGAGGCACGAAAGUGUGGGGAGCAAACAGGAUUAGAUACCCUGGUAGUCCACACCGUAAACGAUGAGUGCUAGGUGUUGGGGGUCGAACCUCAGUGCCGCAGCUAACGCAUUAAGCACUCCGCCUGGGGAGUACGCUCGCAAGAGUGAA